GAUGAACGCUGGCGGCGUGCCUAAUACAUGCAAGUCGAGCGAACGGACGAGAAGCUUGCUUCUCUGAUGUUAGCGGCGGACGGGUGAGUAACACGUGGAUAACCUACCUAUAAGACUGGGAUAACUUCGGGAAACGGAGCUAAUACCGGAUAAUAUUUUGAACCGCCUGGUUCAAAAGUAAAAGACGGUCUUUCUGUCACUUAUAGCUGGAUCCGCGCUGCAUUAGCUAGUUGGUAAGGUAACGGCUUACCAAGGCAACGAUGCAUAGCCGACCUGAGAGGGUGAUCGGCCACACUGGAACUGAGACACGGUCCAGACGCCUACGGGAGGCAGCAGUAGGGAAUCUUCCGCAAUGGGCGAAAGCCUGACGGAGCAACGCCGCGUGAGUGAUGAAGGUCUUCGGAUCGUAAAACUCUGUUAUUAGGGAAGAGCAUAUGUGUAAGUAACUGUGCACAUCUUGACGGUACCUAAUCAGAAAGCCACGGCUAACUACGUG
rnacentral:rRNA from 1 species